rnacentral:rRNA from 1 species
UACGUAGGGGGCAAGCGUUGUCCGGAAUUAUUGGGCGUAAAGAGCGCGUAGGCGGUCUGAUAAGUCGGUUGUGAAAGUCGGGGGCUCAACCCUCGGAUGCCGAUCGAUACUGUCAGGCUAGAGUCCGGAAGAGGCGAGUGGAAUUCCUGGUGUAGCGGUGAAAUGCGCAGAUAUCAGGAGGAACACCAUGGCGAAGGCAGCUCGCUGGGACGGUACUGACGCUGAGGCGCGAAAGCGUGGGGGAGC